GACAGAGGGUGCAAACGUUGCUCGGAAUCACUGGGCGUAAAGGGCGUGCAGGCGGUCUGUUAAGUGCAGGGUGAAAGCUCCCGGCUCAACUGGGAGAGGUCCUUGCAUACUGGCGGACUUGAGGGGGGUAGAGGAAAGUGGAAUUCCCGGUGUAGUGGUGAUAUGCGUAGAUAUCGGGAGGAACACCUGUGGCGAAGGCGGCUUUCUGGGCCCUACCUGACGCUGAGACGCGAAAGCGUGGGGAGCGAACCGG
rnacentral:rRNA from 1 species